rnacentral:lncRNA from 1 species
AGAGCUGAAAACAACCUAGAUGUCCCACGACAGAAAAAUGGAUACAGAAAAUGUGGUCAUUUCCACAUGGAAUACUACUUGGCUAUUAAGAAUGAGGACAUCCUGAGCUUUGCAGGCAAAUAGAUGGAACUAGAAAAUAUCAUCCUGAGUGAGGAACUAUUCAGUACUAAUUGCCAGCAGCUCUUUUUGCUCUGGUGAGGAUAAAGUCAAUAAGAUAAUAUUUUCUCACAAAGAAAUGGAGAAGAACAAAAAAUAAGAUUGUCUGAUGCUAAUACUAUGAAUAAUAAUCAAAGAAAGGAAAGACCUGUGGAAAUGAAGGGUUCAAGAAUACAACCUAUCUUAUGCUACCAUAAUUUAGAAUACAGGAGAUGGCUAACCCAUGGGACUUGGAAAAUCCAGGAUUAACUAGUUAAACUGUCCAGAAAGCUCUGAUCUCAGCUGUUCACUGGCAGAACAGAUUGCCUCCCAAGUGCUUCUCUGCCAUUCGGUAUUCCUCAGAUGUGAGAGAGCCAUAAGCAAAGACAAGUCUGGCUUGAGUAGAAGUCUGUAUCAUUCACUGAAGAAAGGAGUAAAUGACUGAGGAAGAUCAUGUCACCCAUUGGCAUCCACAUGUAUCUGAAAAGAAGUCCAUGUGCCCCUCCCUGCAUGCAUGUGAAAACGUACAUGCAUGCGCAACACAGAUGCAGAAUGAGUUUCUAGUAUUGCAUCAAGCUAUUGGACUAUGAUUAGCUGCGAUGUUAAUUUCGGGUAAAGUGAUGCUUCUGCAUCAUCUUCCUCAGAAGAAAGAAUGAUCAGUUGUACUGCACUGG